AGUGAACGCUGGCGGUAGGCCUAACACAUGCAAGUCGAACGGCAGCACAGUAAGAGCUUGCUCUUACGGGUGGCGAGUGGCGGACGGGUGAGGAAUACAUCGGAAUCUACUUUUUCGUGGGGGAUAACGUAGGGAAACUUACGCUAAUACCGCAUACGACCUACGGGUGAAAGCAGGGGAUCUUCGGACCUUGCGCGAUUGAAUGAGCCGAUGUCGGAUUAGCUAGUUGGCGGGGUAAAGGCACACCAAGGCGACGAUCCGUAGCUGGUCUGAGAGGAUGAUCAGCCACACUGGAACUGAGACACGGUCCAGACUCCUACGGGAGGCAGCAGUGGGGAAUAUUGGACAAUGGGCGCAAGCCUGAUCCAGCAAUACCGCGUGGGUGAAGAAGGUCUUCGGGUUGUAAAGCCCUUUUGUUGGGAAAGAAAAGCAGCAGGUUAAUACCCCGAUGUUCUGACGGUACCCAAAGAAUAAGCACCGGCUAACUUCGUG
rnacentral:rRNA from 1 species